rnacentral:rRNA from 1 species
CACGGAGGGUACACCCCGGGAACUGGGGCUAAUCCCAGAUAGAUGAGAACCCCUGGAAUGGGUUAUCGUCCAAAGGGCACCACGGUUAUGCUCUGCGGUGUCGCUCAAGGAUGGGGCCGCGUCCGAUCAGGCUGUUGGUGAGGCAAUGGCUCACCAAACCUAUAACCGGUACGGGCCGUGGGAGCGGGAGCCCGGAGAUGGGAACUGAGACAAGGUCCCAGGCCCUACGGGGCGCAGCAGUUACGAAAACUUGUCAAUGCACGAAAGUGUGAACGGGCUACCCCGAGUGCCGUCCGCUGAGGAUGGCUUUUCUCUGCUGUAAGAAGGCGGAGGAAUAAGGCGAGGGCAAGUCUGGUGUCAGCCGCCGCGGUAAUACCAGCUCGCCGAGUGGUAGGGAUGAUUAUUGGGCUUAAAGCGUCCGUAGCCGGCCUUUCAAGUCUCUUGUUAAAUCCAACGAUUCAAUCGCUGGACUGCAGGAGAUACUGUUAGGCUAGGGGGCGGGAGAAGCCGACGGUAUUUUCGGGGUAGGGGUAAAAUCCUAUAAUCCCGGGAAGACCACCAUUGGCGUAGGCGGUCGGCUAGCACGCGCUCGACGGUGAGGGACGAAAGCUGGGGGAGCGAACCGGAUUAGAUACCCGGGUAGUCUCAGCUGUAAACGAUGCUGGCUAGGUGUUGAAGCGGCUACGAGCCGCUUCAGUGCCGCAGGGAAGCCAUUAAGCCAGCCGCCUGGGGAGUACGGCCGCAAGGCUGAAACUUAAAGGAAUUGGCGGGGGAGCAC